AAUACGUUCCCGGGCCUUGUACACACCGCCCGUCAAGCGAUGAAAGCCGGGGGUACCCGAAGUCGUGGCCCUAACCGCAAGGAGGGGCGCGCCGAAGGUAAAACCGGUGAUUGGCGCU
rnacentral:rRNA from 1 species